rnacentral:rRNA from 1 species
ACUAAUAUCGUUGGGGGGUGACGUACGCACUGCGCCCAACUGAUUGAUGGUGCUUGCACCUGAUUGACGAUGGAUUACCAGUGAGUGGCGGACGGGUGAGUAACACGUAGGUAACCUGCCCCGGAGCGGGGGAUAACAUUUGGAAACAGAUGCUAAUACCGCAUAACAACAAAAGCCACAUGGCUUUUGUUUGAAAGAUGGCUUUGGCUAUCACUCUGGGAUGGACCUGCGGUGCAUUAGCUAGUUGGUAAGGUAACGGCUUACCAAGGCGAUGAUGCAUAGCCGAGUUGAGAGACUGAUCGGCCACAAUGGAACUGAGACACGGUCCAUACUCCUACGGGAGGCAGCAGUAGGGAAUCUUCCACAAUGGGCGCAAGCCUGAUGGAGCAACACCGCGUGAGUGAAGAAGGGUUUCGGCUCGUAAAGCUCUGUUGUUGGAGAAGAACGUGCGUGAGAGUAACUGUUCACGCAGUGACGGUAUCCAACCAGAAAGUCACGGCUAACUACGUGCCAGCAGCCGCGGUAAUACGUAGGUGGCAAGCGUUAUCCGGAUUUAUUGGGCGUAAAGCGAGCGCAGGCGGUUGCUUAGGUCUGAUGUGAAAGCCUUCGGCUUAACCGAAGAAGUGCAUCGGAAACCGGGCGACUUGAGUGCAGAAGAGGACAGUGGAACUCCAUGUGUAGCGGUGGAAUGCGUAGAUAUAUGGAAGAACACCAGUGGCGAAGGCGGCUGUCUGGUCUGCAACUGACGCUGAGGCUCGAAAGCAUGGGUAGCGAACAGGAUUAGAUACCCUGGUAGUCCAUGCCGUAAACGAUGAGUGCUAGGUGUUGGAGGGUUUCCGCCCUUCAGUGCCGGAGCUAACGCAUUAAGCACUCCGCCUGGGGAGUACGACCGCAAGGUUGAAACUCAAAGGAAUUGACGGGGGCCCGCACAAGCGGUGGAGCAUGUGGUUUAAUUCGAAGCUACGCGAAGAACCUUACCAGGUCUUGACAUCUUGCGCUAACCUUAGAGAUAAGGCGUUCCCUUCGGGGACGCAAUGACAGGUGGUGCAUGGUCGUCGUCAGCUCGUGUCGUGAGAUGUUGGGUUAAGUCCCGCAACGAGCGCAACCCUUGUUACUAGUUGCCAGCAUUAAGUUGGGCACUCUAGUGAGACUGCCGGUGACAAACCGGAGGAAGGUGGGGACGACGUCAGAUCAUCAUGCCCCUUAUGACCUGGGCUACACACGUGCUACAAUGGACGGUACAACGAGUCGCAAGCUCGCGAGAGUAAGCUAAUCUCUUAAAGCCGUUCUCAGUUCGGACUGUAGGCUGCAACUCGCCUACACGAAGUCGGAAUCGCUAGUAAUCGCGGAUCAGCAUGCCGCGGUGAAUACGUUCCCGGGCCUUGUACACACCGCCCGUCACACCAUGGGAGUUUGUAACGCCCAAAGUCAGGUGGCCGGUGCCACUUUUGUUUGCGAAGU